UGACAUGCUGAGAACUUUCCGAGAGAUGAUGUGCCUUCGGGAACGUCAGACACAGGUGCUGCAUGGCUGUCGUCAGCUCGUGUCGUGAGAUGUUGGGUUAAGUCCCGUAACGAGCGCAACCCUUGUCCUUAGUUACCAGCACGUAAUGGUGGGCACUCUAAGGAGACUGCCGGUGACAAACCGGAGGAAGGUGGGGAUGACGUCAAGUCCUCAUGGCCCUUAUGGGUAGGGCUUCACACGUCAUACAAUGGUCGGUACAGAGGGUUGCCAACCCGCGAGGGGGAGCUAAUCCCACAAAGCCGAUCGUAGUCCGGAUCGCAGUCUGCAACUCGACUGCGUGAAGUCGGAAUCGCUAGUAAUCGUGGAUCAGCAUGCCACGGUGAAUACGUUCCCGGGUCUU
rnacentral:rRNA from 1 species